UUUACAGCCCUCAUGCCCCAUCAUGGAUUGCAAGCUGGAACGCCGCCUCAGAUAUUACUGGUGAAAAGUUAUCAGGAUGGGAACAUGCAAUCUGAGCCUUUAUUUCCUUGUACAACCUGAAUUUGGACCCUGCUGACUCAAGGUGUACAGCCCAUGCUCAACUUUAAACACAGGGAUGGCUCCCAGGUCCCGAGUACCCUUCAGGCGCAGGAAAGUGAACAUCCAGGUCACUCUACGAAUGCGAGGAUAUAAGAGGCCCUGGAAACCCCUCCAUUUUGUCUUCAAUCCCGCUUCCUACUUCUGAAGGAACUUUGCUACAAACUAAAGCUCUUUAAGGACUCAAUGGCUCAUCCAAGCGGAGGAUGGACUCCUGAGACUUGACUUAAGCCAGCAGUUAAGUCCAUCACCGCGGCAAACCUGAAGCAAGUACUUGGCAAUUGCUGUAUGUAUUUGAUUCCUUUAGCCAAUUCUAUUUCCUUCCUUCCUUGAAUAAACUUUUAGAUACGAAAGGAUUGGCAACAGGGUGACUUUUGGAUAAGAUCUGAGUUAUAAAUUGGCCUG